AGAGUUUGAUCCUGGCUCAGAUUGAACGCUAGCGGGAUGCCUUACACAUGCAAGUCGAACGGCAGCGCGGACUUCGGUCUGGCGGCGAGUGGCGAACGGGUGAGUAACGUAUCGGAACGUGCCCAACAGAGGGGGAUAACUACGCGAAAGCGUGGCUAAUACCGCAUACGCCCUACGGGGGAAAGCGGGGGAUCUUCGGACCUCGCGUUGGUGGAGCGGCUGAUAUCGGAUUAGCUAGUUGGUGGGGUAAAGGCCUACCAAGGCGACGAUCCGUAGCUGGUUUGAGAGGACGACCAGCCACACUGGGACUGAGGCACGGCCCAGACUCCUACGGGAGGCAGCAGUGGGGAAUUUUGGACAAUGGGGGCAACCCUGAUCCAGCCAUCCCGCGUGUGCGAUGAAGGCCUUCGGGUUGUAAAGCACUUUUGGCAGGAAAGAAAAGUUGCUGGUUAAUACCCGGCGACGCUGACGGUACCUGCAGAAUAAGCACCGGCUAACUACGUGCCAGCAGCCGCGGUAAUACGUAGGGUGCGAGCGUUAAUCGGAAUUACUGGGCGUAAAGGGUGCGCAGGCGGUUGGGCAAGAAAGAUGUGAAAUCCCAGGGCUUAACCUUGGAACUGCAUUUUUAACUGCCCGGCUAGAGUGUGUCAGAGGGGGGUGGAAUUCCACGUGUAGCAGUGAAAUGCGUAGAUAUGUGGAGGAACACCGAUGGCGAAGGCAGCCCCCUGGGAUAACACUGACGCUCAUGCACGAAGGCGUGGGGAGCAAACAGGAUUAGAUACCCUGGUAGUCCACGCCCUAAACGAUGUCAACUAGCUGUUGGGUUCUUCGGGACUUGGUAGCGCAGCUAACGCGAGAAGUUGACCGCCUGGGGAGUACGGUCGCAAGAUUAAAACUCAAAGGAAUUGACGGGGACCCGCACAAGCGGUGGAUGAUGUGGAUUAAUUCGAUGCAACGCGAAAAACCUUACCUACCCUUGACAUGUCUGGAAUCCUGAAGAGAUUUAGGAGUGCUCGCAAGAGAACCGGAACACAGGUGCUGCAUGGCUGUCGUCAGCUCGUGUCGUGAGAUGUUGGGUUAAGUCCCGCAACGAGCGCAACCCUUGUCAUUAGUUGCUACGAAAGGGCACUCUAGUGAGACUGCCGGUGACAAACCGGAGGAAGGUGGGGAUGACGUCAAGUCCUCAUGGCCCUUAUGGGUAGGGCUUCACACGUCAUACAAUGGUCGGGACAGAGGGUCGCCAACCCGCGAGGGGGAGCCAAUCCCAGAAACCCGAUCGUAGUCCGGAUCGCAGUCUGCAACUCGACUGCGUGAAGUCGGAAUCGCUAGUAAUCGCGGAUCAGCAUGUCGCGGUGAAUACGUUCCCGGGUCUUGUACACACCGCCCGUCACACCAUGGGAGUGGGUUUUACCAGAAGUAGUUAGCUUAACCGUACUGUUAAAGGUAAGGAGGGCGAUUACCACGGUAGGAUUCAUGACUGGGGUGAAGUCGUAACAAGGUA
rnacentral:rRNA from 1 species